AUACAUGCAAGUCGAUCGGAUGUAGCAAUACAUUAGAGGCGAACGGGUGAGUAACACGUAUCCAAUCUGCCUUAUAGUGGGGGAUAACUAGUCGAAAGAUUAGCUAAUACCGCAUAACAAGUUAACUAUCGCAUGAGAAUAACUUUAAAGGAGCAACUGCUUCGCUAUAAGAUGAGGGUGCGGCAUAUCAGCUAGUUGGUGAGGGUAAUGGCCCACCAAGGCUAUGACGUGUAGUUAUGCUGAGAGGUAGAAUAACCACAAUGGGACUGAGACACGGCCCAUACUCCUACGGGAGGCAGCAGUAGGGAAUUUUUCACAAUGGACGAAAGUCUGAUGGAGCAAUGCCGCGUGAACGAUGAAGGUCUUUUUAGAUUGUAAAGUUCUUUUAUUUGGGAAGAAUAGUUAAUAGAGUGGAAAGCUAUUAAUUUGACUGUACCAUUUGAAUAAGUAACGACUAACUAUGUGCCAGCAGUCGCGGUAAUACAUAGGUUGCAAGCGUUAUCCGGAUUCAUUGGGCGUAAAACAAGCGCAGGCCGAUUAGAAAGUCUGGUGUUAAAAGCAAUUGCUUAACGAUUGUAUGCAUUGGAAACUUCUAGUCUAGAGUUUGGUAGAGAGUCCUGGAACUCCAUGUGGAGCGGUGAAAUGCGUAGAUAUAUGGAAGAACACCAGAGGCGAAGGCGAGGACUUGGGCCAAUACUGACGCUUAGGCUUGAAAGUGUGGGGAGCAAAUAGGAUUAGAUACCCUAGUAGUCCACACUGUAAACGAUGGAUGUUAAGUGUCGGAGCGAAUACUUCGGUGCUGCAGUUAACACAUUAAACAUCCUGCCUGAGUAGUACAUUCGCAAGAAUGAAACUCAAACGGAAUUGACGGGGACCCGCACAAGUGGUGGAGCAUGUUGCUUAAUUCGACGGUACACGAAAAACCUUACCUAGACUUGACAUCUUGGGCGAAGCUAUAGAAAUAUAGUGGAGGUCAACCCAAUGACAGGUGGUGCAUGGUUGUCGUCAGCUCGUGUCGUG
rnacentral:rRNA from 1 species